UACGAAGGGGGCUAGCGUUGUUCGGAAUUACUGGGCGUAAAGCGCACGUAGGCGGACUGGAAAGUUGAGGGUGAAAUCCCAGGGCUCAACCCUGGAACUGCCUUCAAAACUUCUAGUCUUGAGAUCAGUAGAGGCGAGCGGAAUACCGAGUGUAGAGGUGAAAUUCGUAGAUAUUCGGUGGAACACCAGUGGCGAAGGCGGCUCGCUGGACUGAUACUGACGCUGAGGUGCGAAAGCGUGGGGAGCAAACAGG
rnacentral:misc_RNA from 1 species